AUUGAACGCUGGCGGCAGGCUUAACACAUGCAAGUCGAGCGGAGAGAGGUAGCUUGCUACUGAUCUUAGCGGCGGACGGGUGAGUAAUGCUUAGGAAUCUGCCUAUUAGUGGGGGACAACAUUUCGAAAGGAAUGCUAAUACCGCAUACGUCCUACGGGAGAAAGCAGGGGAUCUUCGGACCUUGCGCUAAUAGAUGAGCCUAAGUCGGAUUAGCUAGUUGGUGGGGUAAAGGCCUACCAAGGCGACGAUCUGUAGCGGGUCUGAGAGGAUGAUCCGCCACACUGGGACUGAGGCACGGCCCAGACUCCUACGGGAGGCAGCAGUGGGGAAUAUUGGACAAUGGGCGCAAGCCUGAUCCAGCCAUGCCGCGUGUGUGAAGAAGGCCUUAUGGUUGUAAAGCACUUUAAGCGAGGAGGAGGCUACUUUAGAUAAUACCUAGAGAUAGUGGACGUUACUCGCAGAAUAAGCACCGGCUAACUCUGUGCCAGCCGCCGCAGUAAUAC
rnacentral:rRNA from 1 species